rnacentral:lncRNA from 1 species
AAAUUAACCUUUGGAUAUCACUUCUAUAAACCAACUAACAAAUGUUAUUUUGUUGGGUUGUUCAUUGUAAUCCUACAAUAUGAUUUGCCUAACGCAAAUGAACGAGAGAUAGAACUCAAAGAAUGGGUUCUUUGAGAGACAAGAUAAUCAACAAAUAUAACAACCUAGUUCCUACACCACAAGCUCCAAGGUAGUUGAGAAGGAUUUAUAAACCGUCUCAGUUGAAUGGUUUGAACUUUAUGACUAUGUCAUAGAGUUAGUUACACCUCUUAAUUCAAAAGAAAUAAGAAUGAAAAUCCUAAUGACUACAUUGAGUGUACAUACGACAUAUACUCAAGGAAAUGGUAAAGUACCAUUUGACCCGAAAUAGUGAAACCUCUAAUAGCUAAUUGGUAGCUUAAGGUGACUGCAAUCAAAGAGAUUGGUUGACUUGGAAGAAACCAUCUUUGACAUAGUCUUGGUUUCAAUUAAUUCAAAGAUUGCUAGCUAUAACUAAAUGGUGAUUCAAUGUUUGGACAUAAUAUGGGUUUCCGAAACCAUUAUUAAGAUAGUCUUGAUAAUAU